CGCGCAGGCGGGCUGAUAAGUCGGGUGUGAAACCCCAGAGCUUAACUCUGGGCCUGCACUCGAUACUGUUGGUCUUGAGUACGAGAGAGGAAAGCGGAAUCCCAGGUGUAGCGGUGAAAUGCGUAGAUAUCUGGGAGAACACCGGUGGCGAAGGCGGCUUUCUGGCUCGAUACUGACGCUGAGGCGCGAAGGCUAGGGGAGCAAACAGGAUUAGAUACCCUGGUAGUCC
rnacentral:rRNA from 1 species